rnacentral:tRNA from 1 species
UCCCCCGUAGUGUAAUGGUAGCACAAGUGAUUUUGGUUCACUUAGUCGAGGUUCGAGUCCUCGCGGGGGAU